ensembl:lncRNA
AACCCUAAAGAAUAAUGUUAGCUGGAUUUAGAAGUGGAAGAACGGAGAGCUUGCAUAAGGACAGUUCCAGAGGCCACCAGACAACUAUGAAUCUACUUCACCCAUCGAAGAGCCUUCUUUAUUUGCUCCUAACCUUUGGACCCUUUCUAGGUGGAAUGUCGAUCCCUGUUGCAGUAAACAUUGGGGAUACUGCGAUUUUCACUUGUAAUGAGACAUGUAAUGGACAUCUCUUGUGGACAUUCCACACUUACAAUGAAAAUCUAGACGUUGUAAAAUGUGUCCAAGAGACUUGCACCAAAGGAGACAACUUUAAGAACAGAGUGAGCCUUAAGCCUGGAAAAAUGUCUCUAGCCCUGUAUCCUGUUCUGUACAAUGAUGAAGGCUGGUACAUGGUCAGAUGUGAUUCAGCGGUUGCCUGUAGAUUCCACUUAGAAGCUCUUGUACCAACUACUGUGAGCACCUCAGUCAGUAGCAAUGUCACACUACCCUGCUAUGCACGCACAGAGAAACAAAUCACUGAUGACACUGUGAACAUCCUGUGGAAAAAAGAUGACCGAAUGGUGUUACAAGUUCAAAAAGGAAUUACAACAUAUGGCUCAGGAUUUACAGGCAGGGUAUUAGUUUCACUGCACUAUUAUAAGGACGGAGAUCUUUCCCUUAACAUGGUCAGGGUCACCAUGUCAGAUAAGGGAUUGUACCGGUGCUAUCACAGAACUACAGAAGAACAGGGUUAUCCUGGUGCUGUUACUCUCAAUGUUACAGCUGAUCAAAAGUUUUAUGCAAAAAAGUUUGGGGGAAAUCUCACCCUGGACCUGUUUGGCUCUGACCAUGUAAGGGUAACUUUCACCGGUCAUGAUGCAGAUGAGACGCCUGUUUGCAGUGUGACGGGAAACAAACCUACAUGCUCAUCUGAGUACACGCACAGAGUAUCUGUCAUAAAUAACUUCCUUGUGCUGCGCGAGUUAACGUCCACUGAUACAGGCACAUUUACUGUGAAAAAUGAGAUGGAUGAAGUCAUUGGUGUCAACACUGUCACUGUGGAGGGUGUGACCCAGAGACAUCACUACAUAGCUCUGUCUGUGAUAAUUGGUUUCAUUCUCAUUUGCCUGUUCCUUUGCUGUCAGUGUUGUAGACAGUCACAAGCACAGCAGUAUCGCUGCAGUUAUAGUGCAAUACAGUCUAAUGUGAAUAUAAAUCCAGAACCGAUGAGAGAGCCUGCAUGCAUUGAAUUUUCACAAGAAGAAACCAACCCAGAGCCUGAAGUUCAUCUACACACACCUGUCGAGGAGACCAUGCCUGAGCCUGUGAGGACCACUGAGAAGCAAGACAACACUGAAGAGUAUAUUACGUGUGGAAUAGGAAUUAGAGAAACAAUUUAAGAAUACUUUAAGAGAACUGAAAAAAAAAAAAAAAAAACCCUCAAAUGUUCUUCCGCUGCUGUAUUAUAUGCUAUGAAAAAGAUGGCAUUAGAUUUAAUUGGAUAUUCUUUGAGCAACUGCAUAACUGUGCCAGUGAACAAUAUGUGAAACUUGAAGAGAAAUUGAUUAUAAUUUUUACUUCAGGAAGGCCUGUAGCUGCAGUCUUGUUUUUGGCCAAAAAUAUAAAUUUUCCAUCAUCAAUAGUGUAGCGAUGUAUAAAGCACAGCACAGUCACUUUCAAUUCCAGUUAGCCACAGAAUGUAAAAUUAAUGUGAAGUAUUUUUAUUGUAAAUCAUAUAAUAGCCUUUUUUUCUGACAUGUUUACAUUGCUGUUAGGCAUCUUAAAUCAUUAGGCUUGGGGUGCACAACUAUUAUUCUUGUCAUAAUGAUGAUGUCAGAUGUGGCCACACUGGAAACCCACUUGCUUGACUGUGCUUAUUCUUAAUAAGCAUUAUUCUGCACUUUGAUAUAUUGCACUUUUUCUAUUCUAUUUAUAAGCUUUCGAUACUAACCUUGUGGUAUAACCUUUUUUCUAUUGAAUUUGUUUUAUUAAGUAAAAUGUUUACAAUAUAAAGUAUUACACACACUAAAAUGUUUACAGUGUAUCUGUGUAUUCUAUUAAUUUUUAUGAUCAAAAGUCACAUAAUAUGAAUGAAUGAAUGAUUAAUUUAAUAACAAAUUCAAAGCAUGAAAUUUUCCAGAAGAUGAAAAGGUAUAUUACUGUUUUUUUAAAACAAAAUGUCUUUAGUAAUAGCUAAAGUAAUACUAGUUUUAGUAAUUUUACCACUCUACGUGAAAUGUCAGAAUGUAUACAUUAAUAUAUACCAUAAUAUUAAUUUAAAGAGUUUUCCUUUUAUGUAUACAUACAGUUGUGCACAUAAGUUUACAUACCCAUUUUAGAAUAUGCAAAAUGUUUAUAAUUUUAACAAAAUAAGAGGGAACAAAAAAAUUGCAUGUUUUAAUUUUUUUUUAUUUAGUACUGUCUUGAAUAAGCUUGAAUAUCCAGAAAAUGACACACAGUUUUAACCCACUGGCCCUCUUCGUUUAGGAGUCACACUUACCUUCUUCGUGGGCAAAAGUGACCGAAGCCUUGAAAUGUAACUUUUUUUUUCUUCAGGAAAACCAAUGAAUUUUUGUUCAAUAAUAUUUUUUGAUUAUUAUUUAUGAUUUUUAGCGUGUUUUAUGAUACUAUGCAAUAUUUAUACAAUUUUAAUGAGCCAUUUUCUCCAUUAGAAUUAAUAUAUAUUUGCAAUAUUUCACAUUAAAAUAGAGUGAAAGCAUUUAAAAUCCAUUUUUUGAUGUGAGAAUUGGGCAAUCUGGAGGCAUUAAAAAAAAUAAAAACUUGUUUACUUGUGUAAUGUUGCA